GUUGUGACACUGCACUCCAGUCUGGGUGACAGAGGGAGACUCCAUCUCAAAAAAACAAAAACAAAAAGAAUGGAAGCAGUAUUCAACAAAAAAGGAUCAGCUAAGUAAACAAUAUAAUGAAAUACAAUAUAUCCAUGCAUAUAUAUGUGGAGUAAAACUUAUAUUUACUGAUAGGAAAAAAUUCAAGAAAUUUUUAUUAGAGAACUCAUCAUAAAACAUUAGUCAGCAUAACCCCAUUUUUGUAAAAAUAUAUAAUUAUAACAUACAUGUGAAAAGAAAUUAGAGGAGUAUAAUAUAGUUAUAAUGAUGAGUGUAUCUUUUUUCUAUUUUCUGUACUUUCUUACUUUUAUAACUCAAGCAUAUGUUAUUUGUGUAUUUAUAAAAAAAGAAAUCCAUCUUGCCAAUCUCAAACUGCUUGAUAAACACUUGUUUAUUAAUUACAUGAGAGAAUUAAAUAUAAGUUGGCAAAACACAGAUGGAACAAAAUUAGGGAAUUAAUCACUUCUCUCUUUGUUCUUCUCCAAACUGACUUGAAUUGGUUCUUAAAGACUUCACUCACGUAUCUCCUCUAAAUAGAAUUUAUUCCUGAGAAUGUUCCCACUUUUGUCCCUAGCCUAUGGGCUGGUAUCCUACUUAUGUGCUAUCAUGAUAUUGCGUGCAUGAAUCAUAAUUGUUCUCAUAUAAAGUUUAUAGAUAUAUUACAUUAAAAUUCCUGUCUUUCCACCCUACCAGUCUCUAUUCCUAGCUCCUUCUACUGUAUCUAGCUAAAAAAGGAGGCACUCGGUAUAUGAUUGUUCAGUGGAUGGAUGAUAUAUAAGAAACUUUCCAAAUAAUUAGAAGUAAAUUUAUACUAGAAGUCCUGAAAUAAGCUUUUUCAAUAAACUAAAGUUACAACUGGAGAAUAAUUUUAUAUGGAACAACCACAAGUGAUUUCAAAAAUAGCUUUAAUUUUCACCUGUCCAGUUGACUUCACAAGUGAACGGAAUGAUUUCUUGCAUGCAAUAGCUAUUAAGAGUCUCCAAAAUAUACUGAAGUUUCACAAGUGCCAUGUCUAAUGAUGCCUCAGUAAAUGCCAGGGUAUUAAAAAUGUUAGAGAAAAUAGAGAUAAAAAUGAAUAUACCAAAGAACAACAUGGCUCAGCCAUAGUAAUGCACCAUUCUCACUGUGAAUUUCUUUCUUCCCUUAAAACAGGUCCCAGCUUCAAAUCAAUGCAGCCUCUAUUGCUUCCUGAUGCUUGAUAACAUCACUUAUGUUGCCCAGGAAGAGCUUUGAGUUACUGAUGACUCUCAUUCCAUGUCGCUAUGUGUUCAUUCACUCUGCAAUGAUUUACUGAAUGCCUUCUAUGUACCAAGCACUCUGCCAGGUGCUUGGGUACAAAAGGAAAGCUCUGUAGACAACGAUUGUAACAGAACUGAGAAAGUGAAACCAAAAAGUGGAAAUACAACUCUAGUGCCCUGAGGAAGAUGGUGAAUGAGUUAAGCAUUAAUAUUACAGGAAAGAAGACUGGAUCCAGACCCAAGAGAGGGUUCUUGUAUCUCAGGCAAGAAAGAAUUCUGGGCAAGUUCACAGAGGAAAAUGAAAGCACAUUUAUUAAGAAAGUAAAGCAAUAAAACAAAAACAAUGGCUACUCCACAGACACAGCAGCUCUGAGGCUGCUGGAUGGCUACUUUCAAGGUUAUUUCUUGAUUAUAUCCUAAAUAUGAGGUGGAUUAUUCAUGAGUUUUCCAGGAAAGGGGCGGGGAUUUCCUGGAACUGAGAGUUCUUUUUCCUUUUAGACCAUAUAGGGUAACUGCUGGACGUUGCCAUGGCACCUAUAUACAGUCAUGGUGCUGGUGGUAGUGUCUUUCAGCAUGCUAAUGCAUUAUAAUUAUCAUAUACUGAGCAG
rnacentral:lncRNA from 1 species